AUGAAGACGAAAGCAACUUUCUUCCAAAGAGUGAAAUUCCUAGUUGGUAAUGAUAAUACUACUAGAUUUUGGGAGGAUACAUGGCUUGAGGAGACGCUUUUGGCUUUGCAAUAUCCAUCCUUAUAUAAUAUUGUGCAACACAAUGAGAAUUAUGUUGCCACAGUAUUAAACGCGAUACCCCUUAAUAUCCAAUUUAGGAGAUCCCUAGUAGGGGAACAUUGGAAUGCUUGGUUGCAUCUGGUUCGUAGGUUGAUAGAAGUUCACCUAUCUGAUCAGGCGGAUACAAUUCACUGGAAGUUAACCACGAAUGGAAUCUUCUCAGUGAAAUCUAUGUAUUCGGACCUAAUUGAUUCCGGGCCAUUGUCGAGGUCGUUGCACAUUUAG
rnacentral:rRNA from 1 species